UACGUAGGGUGCGAGCGUUGUCCGGAAUCACUGGGCGUAAAGGGUGCGUAGGCGGGUCUUUAAGUCAGGGGUGAAAUCCUGGAGCUCAACUCCAGAACUGCCUUUGAUACUGAAGAUCUUGAGUCCGGGAGAGGUGAGUGGAACUGCGAGUGUAGAGGUGAAAUUCGUAGAUAUUCGCAAGAACACCAGUGGCGAAGGCGGCUCACUGGCCCGGUACUGACGCUGAGGCACGGAAAGCGUGGGGAGCAAACAGG
rnacentral:rRNA from 1 species